UUUUCAGACCAGGUGCAUGUGCUGAACACUAUUAUCAAGGAAAUAAAUUCAGAUACAGACUACAACAACAGCUUCUAUCGAAUUACUGCUUGACUGUAAAGAAGACCACAGCUGAGACCUGGGGCAAUGGAAAUGCUGUGGAUCCAGACAUUUUUUAGUCUGGGCUAUUGAUUUUUCCAUGGGGGAGGACAGGACGACCCUGCUAGGAGAGAGAAGACCGUUUUCCAUCCUCUGCAGAAGCUGACGCGAGCAUUGUUUGUACCAGCACGAGUCAUGCGAGAGCUGGGGGAACCCGAACAGGCUGAUGCCACCAGCCAGCGCCGCUCAGGCAGGGCCAUGAGACCGGGCACCGGCCGAGACCCUGCCGGUAGCGGGGCUGGAGGUCACAGGGGAAGCACUUGGUGUUCAGACCUCCUUCUUAACCCACCGUGGAGCAACCCUGCGCUUCAGGAGCAGCGCCCGAUGGGACGGCCGCUGAAGGUGUAGUUCCAUAACCAUCAAACCAUGGAAAAUGCUGGAGAGGAGACAGACUUACUGGAGGCAAGGUGGAGACAGGUCGCAGACAUGCUGGCAUUUGGAAGCUGCUGAAAGGCCGUGGGGAGGCUUCGCAGCCGAGCGGCUCUGGUCCCCCCGUGCCCUUUGGUGUGGGUUCCUGCCGCUCAUGGCCACUGAGCUUCCAGCUGUUUCCAGGGGACUGACCCUGAAGGGGGACUGCUGAGUACAGCGUAGUUGAUGCCAUUUUAUCUUCGUGUUGAAUACUUGUGAGCUGUAGUUUAUUUAAAUGAAGCCUUUAUCUGUAACAUAUCAAUUAAAGCCAUAAUGUUAUAGGAAAAGAAGGGCGGCUUGGCUGAUCCAGGGAUUAAAAUCUUUUAACGUUAUGUCCCAGAUAGUGAGUAAUGUGAUAUAAAAGGAUUCUAAUGCAUUCAACAAAGCCAAACACAGCAAGACCUGAACAAACCCCAGAGGACACCAAGACAACCAACCUAAAAUAUAGGUCAAUGUUUUCAAAUUUGGUGUAAGUUCUUUUUGUCUAAUUAAUCUAUAUCUACCAAUAUGUUAAUGAGAGGAAGAUACAGAAAGCUGACUGCCACUGAAACGUCCCCAAGGCUGAAAGAAAACAGUCUCAGCUUGUGGCUAAUUAUUUUUUUCCUUGAAAUGUAUGCCCUGAAAGAUAAGCAAACAUGGUGUUUAUUUGACCUGUGCACCUUGUACCAGACUCUUUUUCCAAAUACUGUUCUUUAAAACAGCUAUUAAAAUGACAGAAAAAGAGAAGAAAAUGCUGCUGAAAACACAGCAGCACAACAGUGAAGGAAGAGGAUGAACACGGCUUGAGAUUACAGCAGUCACUGCAUCAAGAUGUUCAUCAUCCUUGUGCGUGGCCAUGCAAGACGUGGGCUGAGUUUCCAGCCCUGCUGAUUUUCCUCAUGGGUCUCAUGACAUCUGCUGUUUUCUUCCUGAGAACCCAAGCCUGGAAGUGUGUGGCUAAAGGAUAGUCUCAGCUUUCCUUUAAGAGGUUCCUCUGCCCCAUUUUCCAAGGGAGUAAGGCAUGGCCAUGGGACCCCAGGGUGGUCUGCCAGCGGCCGUCUGCUGCCCUUGUCCAUCCUCUGGGCUCGGCUGUCCUCUCGCGCCCGCACACGUGGAGCAGCAUCGGCUGCGGCCUGGGACUGUGCCGGCACGUUGCCCCUCACACGUCAGGGUAUGGGCAUCUGUUAUCAAGUGCUGUCGUUACCUGUGCCUUGUUUACAGCUUUGCAUCCCUCACCAAGACUGCAGAAGUGGUGAUUUGAUUCUGGAAAACAUCGUGGCGUGUGAGUGGCUCCCCCCCGCCCCCAGAGGCACUUUGCUGAAGGAAGAAGGUGAAGCGGCAAAAGGGGAAAGGCUCUGAAGCUGAAGCCAGCGUUUGAAGAAGCUGAGCCUUAACAGAAGCAGUGAAUGGUAUAUCCUGGGAAACCUCUGACUGAAUGAAUGGAGAUGGGGACCAUACUGGAUUUGUCUCUGAAUAUAUUAUAAUGGCUAUGGAUGGAGCUCCUGCUUGCUCUACAGCAUCGCUGCUUUUUGACUGAAGUAAACAGGAGUUAAUCCCUGUAGCCUGUGAGCUGUCCCAUGCUGCCCAAGGCUCCCUCACCGAAGGCUUGGCAAGGCUGCUCUGCGUUUCAUGGGCACAGUGGGAGAACUCGCCACCAGCUCCUGCCCGGGGAGGUGGCACCGAGGCAGGACACAGGUAGGGCUCAAGCGGAGCAAAGAGAACGUGAGCUGCGGCAGUGCGUUGAAACGCCGUGGUAAGCGAGAGAUCUACGACCCCUCAAGAGGAAGCAUCGAGGCGUUCAGCACGCAGUUCUGCUGCCUGCCGCAGGCUCCCCCUGCCCUCCCCUGCCCUCCCCUGCCCCGCACUCCUGCUUUUGCUGCUCCGUCCCCCGGCUGGUGUUUCCUCGGUGGCUGUCACCGCUUACCACCCAGGUACGCGCAGACCAUUUUCUUUCACCCACUGAUUUCCUGGUUUAUUUGAUUCUGAAAUAAUUGUGCUCAAGCAUUAGAAUAGUGUGAUUAAAAUUAUUUUUAAAGAGCUACAUGACUGCUCAGGGGCUUACAUAGAAGAAAUAAUGGGAUGAAUAAAUGGAUGACUGGUGGAUCUGAGUUUAAAACGCAAAAAAAGAACCAAGUUCCCUCUGUCAUAAAUGUGGGAUUUAGAAAGUCUUAUUUGAAGGUUUAUCUAAAGGGUAUAUGUUUGAUUAUGUCUGCAAUUUACAGAUUGAUCCCCAGUGUGAAGUUUUGCAGAGAAAAAGCUAUUAUUUUAGGGUCCAGGAAUAGUAAGCAGGGCUAGAUCCACCAGAACUAGGUGGAUUUUCAGCAUGGAGGGAGCCAGGCAGCACUUGCCCUUCAUCGGCAUUUGAAUGUGGGCUCUCAACUAGAAAAGAAACCCUGGAGGGCUGUCAGAGGAUUAUCUCCGCUGCUCUGCAGAAGUUCAGGGUAUUGCCACCAGAGCAGCGUGUGCCUCCGAUUUUAUACCAACUUAGCCAAGAUAAAAAUCAGGCUCAGUUCUCCCUGCCUCUGAAGGCAGCCUGAUAAAAUUAGCAGGAGUAAUUUUUUGUACAAAGUUCUUUUGAUAGCUUAGCAAAGGCCAGAAGAUUAAAUACAAGGAGGAGGACUUCAAGCCACGUUUUCUCUGUUGGUGUAAACAGGUAUCAGUACACUGAAACAAAUGGAAGUGCUCUUACUUUACACCACCUGAAGGCCUGACAAAUUCCCAUUUGUUUGAUGCUAUAAUGAAUAGCCAUUUCAUGGGUAUGAGAUGAGUUCAGGUACAAACCUUAGUUUUCAGUUUCCUGCCUGCCUCUGAAUAGCAACCAGCAUUAUUUCACUGCAGUUGUUUUAAAAAUUAACUUGUAAUGCAUUCUAGCCAAUCCUUCCUACUGAACGAUGAUUUUUUUUUUUAAUUUAAUUUUUGGUUUUUAGAUUGAUGUCCUCAUUGUAAUGCAUCUUCAUUCUGCUUUCCACUAAAAGCUCAAUAUUGUGACUUAUGUGGAAUUUUUAAUGGGCAGACUUCUCAUAUAAAUUUUGCAACUACCAGUAAUUAGACUCACCCGCGUGCAAUGCAGAGAGCAGGAACCUCUGUAGUCAUCAAAGGUGCAGAGUCAGGGAAAGAAGCAAAGCUUUGUUUUCCCAGUGAAGCAGAGGGAGCUGCCCCUGAGUUUGCUAUGCGUUAUUGCGAACAGCUUAGUGGCAAAGUUCCAUUAUUUCUGACCUUUCUGUCCGUAUUAUAGCACAACCGUUGCCAUUUGGGACAAUUCAAGGUACUUCAGAUAGUUCUGUAAUAGUCAGCAAACUGUUCUAGCAUCAUCAUUAGCAGUCUAUGCGGCUGGCAUGGAGUGAAGGCGAACACUUUGGGGCAAUUCUGAGCAAGAGUUCCUUCAGCAUCGUUUUCUUCUCCAGUAGUCUGAUGCCAAAUACGAAUUUCCGUUUAUUAUUGUACUGAGCAGCAUAAAACAUUUCUCAGGUUUUUGCUGCUAUCUUCCAAGAACGCAGAGAAGAGUACAUUCAUCUGAACCUAUAAUUUAUUGGUGUAAUGACCAGGAAUUAAAGACUGAGGAUAACUAGCAACAUCAAGCCUUUUUGAUCUUUAAAAAAUCUCCCAUUUUUUAAGGUUACUUGCUACGUGCUUUGCUGUAUCCAACAGACAUAAUUUCGGUCUCAGUUAACCUGCACUUUAGGUCAAAAGGAACAACAGAAAAAUUAAAAGAGUUCGACCAGCAAGAAAUAAUUGUGAGUUUCUUACAAAGUGGAUGAAAGAGAGCAAGAACUGCAGCUGUGGAGUCAGACUGUGGAGGCUUAAAGGGACUUUGGAAAUGGUGAAUUUUGCACGCCCAAAGCCUGCUGGGUCCUUAGGGGAAACCCCACACCAUUCCUGCAGCUUUCACAGGCUUGCCACGCACGAGAAGCUGUAGUGCCAACCCCACCUAUUUUUAGGGCAGUUCCAGCUCUCCAUCCUACCCAAGCCUCUCCUGGCAAACCCAUUCCUGUCUUGAACUCUCUUGCAUCAGUUUGCAUAGCGCAAUGCUGCUUUAUUUCGGAGCAGCAGUAAGAUAACUGGGUGCUGGUGCUGACACUGGUCUUGGGUGACACUGGGCAGGACAGAGACCUCACCUCAGAGCCAGGGUCCUGCAAACCCCCCAGGUCUGACGCAGCACAAAGUGGUGAAACCAAGUUGGUGCAGAAAGGCUGUGGGAAACGUGGGGAGAGACCCUGCUGCUGGCGAUUCUGGCAGUGAGCACCGCCAGCUUCUGCAGCCGAUGCGGCGAGGAGAGGAGAGGCAGGGCACGCGCCCCAGCAUCGCACGUCUUUGCUCCGCCGACCUGCCCGGGCUUUCUCGGUGCUCCCUGUCUCAAACUGCGUAUUACAUUUACCGUCCUUGUCUAACCUGAAAUUUCAUGAAUGAUCUUUUUGAUAAAUUUUACUUUUAAUGUUUUCUCCAUCCUGUUAGGAAACAUGUUGUUUACAGAUGAUUACGUUUUCUAAAUGACUGCAUUUUCUUCUUAGCCUUUAAGUGAAAUGCGUGGAAAAAUGUGUUUCUGUAGCCUUCAAGGGAAAUAAUGGGAAGUCCCUCCCUCCCCGUUCAAGACUGCUCUCAAAAAAAUACCCAGGUUUUAGCACUGGAUUUAUCUCAACAAUGCACAGUCAUUUAAAAGCUUCCUGAGCUGUUUGUACUUACAAGGAGCAUUUCUAAUGCAACUUUAGAGCACACAAAGUAAAUAUGUCUAGCUUGGCAGACGGCUUGAAGAAAACCUACUUAGUUCAAUCAUUAGGUCAAGCCGAAUAAAUUUCUGCCUUCCUCAAAGAAAAUUACUAGUGAAUGUCGAGGCUGAAGUGAUUUUAACUUCCUUGACAUGGAAGAUUUAGUUACAUCAAACAGUAAUGAACAGCUGAAAGAUGUAAUUUUGGUUAUAAAAGGAGUGCAGCAACUACAUGUUCAAAGACAAAAUAAUUCUUACUAUUCACUGCACCAUAAUAUUUAAAUACUUAUGGCAUUAAAUAUUAGUAAGACAUAUUUAGAGGCAGCUGAUGGCUCUGAAGCUUAGUCCCCACUCAGUCUGUCAGAUCCUUGAGUUUCAGAGGAAAAACUGUGCAGGAAAUCUGGUUCUUUGGUCGUGCUUUUCAUUGUGUUACAGAUCAGUAAAUGGCAGUAAAUGGAGCUCUGGCAAUGGGAAGGUCGCUGCAGGGCGUUUGGAAAUGAAAGGACUAUUUUGUGUCUCGUUUAGAGACUUCUCUUUAUUUAUUGGUGUGUGUUAUCCAGUGGCUGGGGUAAUGGGCCUCAGAAGAAAGUGUUGUUUAAGUAAAAUAGCUGUGGUUUGGGGGGGAAUAACUAAAUCAGAAGUUCUGAGAAGCAGCGGCCAUGUUCUCAGGCAUCUGAAAUGUAUCUACUACUAAGAGCAAAGCAAUUUUUUCUAAUUCCAAAAUCCCAGUUUGCAAGGAUGUUAAAUCAUCCUUGGGCUUAACACAAUAGUCUCUUGGCAACUGCAGAUGCUUAUCUUGAAAGAUUCAUUUUUACAACAGACUGAAUUCUCAGAAAAGAGGCCAAACAUAAAGAUGUUAGAAAUCAAAGCGAAAAUCCAAAAGGGUUUUGAGGCUUGAUUUAGUUAAGCAUCCAAAUGUUUGGCUAUGUAUUUGAAACUUAUUCAAGCUGCUUAAAUCUAGAAAACUGGUAAUAGGCUCUAUCCUCCCUGCUCUGUGACGGAAAGUCUUGGCACAUACAGUUCCAAAUUGCAUUGACCUUUUUUUGCUGCCAAAUUCUAUUGCAUUUUCAUUUCUAAUUUACUGUCCAAUCCAGCCCCAAGGUCUCUAGCUUUUACCGCCUUUCUAGGUUUCCAUUUCCUAUUCAAUAUGUGCUUUUCCCCCUUGCUUAAUAGUUUUCAUUUUUCGCCAGUUAAGUCUCAUCUUAUUACUCAAAAAUUUAGGGACCAAUACAUGAGGUCAGACUGACAAUCCAUCCAUUUUGUUAUUCUUUCUUCUGUAAUUUACCAGGUUCAGAUGCUUCAGAAGGCACAGAAAAAACACAGAAAUGGAUCAUUGUGGAAACCUUUGUCCAUAGGAAAAAUCCAUAGUGUAUUUCUGUGCUAAUGCAGAAGGGUUUAUAGCCUCUUCCCAGCUGAAAUAAGUGUUUCAUCUCAGCACCUAUGUACAAAUCUAUGUUUUUCUGAAUUCUAUUAAAUGUUCACUCUCAGUAAUAUCCAUUGGCAAUGAGUUCUACAGGUUUAUUCUGGAGGUUUAUUGGUUGUUUCUGCCUACAUUUGUAUUUCCUCUGAUGAUACUGAUAUUAUUUAUCUUUCUUGCUGGUUUGCUAAUUUUCCACACUAGUGUCACUUGUGAUUGUCAUUAAUAUGCUUCCUUUUGAGUGGGAAGGAGAAUGCUAUGUAAAAGGAAUUAUAAUACACAUUCUCCCUCUAAUUUUUAAAGUACAUUUGUGUAGAGUAUAUUUUUAAGGUAUAUUGUAAAGGCUUUUCUCUGAAAUCUGUGGUUGGAAUUACUGACCUCUUCCUUUCUGGCAGUUCUUUUGCAUUGCCAUCUUUUGGUAAGACCUGGCCCGGAUGGGCUGCGUGAGCCCCGCUUUUGGGCGGACGGCACCGAUGGUUCAGCGCCAGCCUCGCGGCCGGGUCAGACCCCACGUCCGCAGUUACCUGGCACUUUCUCUGUUUCCUUCUGCUUAUUUCUUUAUUUUAGCAUGCAAGGCUUGCCAGCCACGCUGGACUGGUGGGACCUUUGCAAAUCUUCUUGGCAGCACUUCCCAUCUUUCACUCGGCUUUCUUUCUCUGUAUUGGAUGCUUUUGAUUCGUGCUUGGGAUUUAUCGGUUUAAUUAAUCUAAUCUCUGCAGUAUCAUCCAUGCUAACUGAAAUAAUUCCUGACAAUGUUUUGUUGAUCCCUGUGAUUGCUGAAUGAGAGUGAAGCUAUGUGGCAGCAUAUGGCAGUAUUUCUUAUCUGUGGUGGCUAAGUUUAGCAUUUUAGAGGGUUUUUUUAGUCCUUUUUCUUUUAAUCAGAGUAGUCUAUUUGCUUAGAGAUUAGGCCAUUUUUGUGUGUUUCCUCAUUGAUAAAACUGUGCUUUUUAAUGUUCUGUAAAAUCCUAUUGUGUUCCCACAGACUUUUGCAGGAGCAAGCUUCACACACAAUAUCACAGGGCAUUGCUACAGUGAAAUGCACAGAAGUGGUGUGGUGCACAGGCUUUUUUUGAAGUAUUAAAAUUUGUUCUUUAUUUCUAAGCAUUUGCAGAAAGAACAAUGCUUUUUAAAUAAGUACAUGAUUGGAUUAAUCCAGGACUACCCUCAGUAAGGGCAAUGGUACAGUCUCAAGCCCUCAGUGGUCAUACGAACAGUGAUUUUAUAUUGGUAAUGUUUCUUUACUUAUAAACUGCCAGUGAGUUGAGAGUUGCGAUGGCAAUCCUGUCUUCCAAGGAUGCGCUGAAGUGUUUUGGAUCCCAGGGCCUGGUAUUUACGGAAGGUUUUUAUAGUACAGACUCAGCAGUUUGCACAGUUUGGUGAAUUCGUUUAGAGUAAUUAGUGUAACACCAGGCUGGAUUUGCAAGUCUGUUUAAGCCAUUCUACUUCGAGUAUAUCAAACUUUAAAACAUCUACAGUAAUAACAUUGAUUUUGUUUGGAUUAUUUCACGUGUUUUUCCAGCUCUACUGAAACAGUGGUGAGUAACUCAACGGUUGGUUGACACAGGUCCUGGUCAUUCCUUAGACUUGUGGACCAAGGGCCUGGCCGCAUCCUGCGUGGAUUCCAAGAUGGUCCCCUUGCCUCGGAAUCGAUGACUUCCCUGGCCCUGCUGAUGCAAAGGGAUGAUAACAAUUCUCCACCAAUCCCCAGCAGCCAGUAGUGUAAUAUACUGUGCUUCUCAUACCGUAAUGGAAAUCUGUACUGUCACUGUUGCAAUAUGUCAUGCUGUACCUGCAGACCAGUGGGUUUGCCUUCCUGUUAUCCUGAUUCUGGGGUAGUUAUUUAUGUUGGCAACAAAGGAGCCAAUCAAAAAUUUACUCCCAUUUGAUUUAUUUUUGACUUGCAAAACAGAGAAUCAGUCUGCAUAUUUUUAAUACAAUUUUUCUUCCCCAGGGAUGGGCCAGUUUUAUUCUACAUCUCUUCUCUGGGAUGUGCAGAAAGCCCUACAAUGCUAUCUGGAGACAUUGUGUGGCAGAAAUCGCCUCAAGAGAAUUUUCUUUUAUGCUUUAUCCCAAAAUGCUUAUAUGGCUGUUCACCGCUCUUCCAUCAUUUCUUAAAAGAAGCUUGUGCUCAUGUGGUGUCCUGUGAAUGUGACUUGCUGAACAGACCUCUGGUAAAUUUGCUGGGGUAAAGCUGAUUGCUGCCCUGGAGAAGAUCCAGACAGCGUGGGAGUGGCAUUCUGUUUUGUUUUCUGUAGAAAAAUUGUAAUUGCCUAGAUAUCAAUUAACCCUAUGAUACUGGCCUUCCCUUUUUGCAGUUUGUUCAUUUGAAAUCAUAGAUAGCUUCAUAGAUAGUAUGAAGAGAAGUUGGGGUUGGUUUUUUUUUUUUGCAAAUCCUGGUCUAGGUUCCCUGUUAAAUUUUUUUUUUUUUUUUUUCCUCCGGAAGUAAUUUUUACCCUUGUUCACCUAAAAUAAGUGACAAGAAGAUGGGUGAAGCUCUCCUGCCCCCUACGUGUGUUUUUAGGGAAGAAGUAGGGUGGCUUGACUGGUAGCUCUGAGUCAGUGUUGGUACCUUGUACUGGCCAGCUGAUUUGUACUGCUGAAUUGCCAUAUUUUUCUGGACAUCACCAGAAAUUGUGUUGCUUGUGCUCAUUAAAUCCUGAAUUUUUACAGGUAAGAUAAUUCAGCGUAGCUGAGCCAUGUCUUUUUUCUCAGACGUAGUCCACCCAGGUAGUCAUAUUCUCUCCUCUUCCACAAGCAGCUGGCACUAAUGCAGUCAGUUUUAUUGGUUGCAGUGGUAUUUAAGCAAUAGCCUAAAUAGCUGGGUGGUGCUUUGCUUCAGACCACUGAACUGUGGCCACUUUUUCGCUGGUGGGUGCCGUGAAGGUAUACUGGUACUCCUUGUCUGUGUAUUAGUUUUGAAUCAUACGAAUUCAAAGUUCUAAAAUUAACAUCUCCUUGUUUUUUCCUCACCAGUAGAACUGGCCAGAAGAAAGUGGAAAAGCGAUGGUUCAGGCUGCAGCCCGCGUCCCUGCCAGCCCAAGCCGCCAGCGCGGGCUCCGAGCACGGGGGGACUGGGCAGCGCAGGCCAGGCUCCGCGCGGGCAGGAGGUGGAGGAACGCAAAUUUGUGCCAGUACUGGAGGACUGAUCCGUACGACGCGGCUAAGUCCGGGCCUGUUAGCACAUCACUGACCCCAGGCACAAUAACGGAAUAGCUGAUAUGAGACUUGAUUAAUGAAUAAUUAAUUAGAAUGUAUUCUAAUUAGUGUCAAUCAACUUGCUGGUAUGGAAAAUAGGACCAGUAGAUAAGACUGACUCUUUUUUUUAAUGAGAUGACAAAUGUGGUAGAUGAGGAGAGUAUCGAUACACCAGCCGUCUGUGUGGCAUUUUCUUUGACAGCAGCGUGACGUCUGGGGAGGAACUGGGAUGCUGCUGGAGCGUCGCGCAUGCCGGACCAUCAGGCGGCCGUCACCUCUGCAGAGGGCUCGGCCGGCACCCUCCGUGCCCGCAGGGAUGGGCAGUCGGGGAAGGUGCGGGCUGCUCGGGUCCGGCUGCUGUGGAAACCCUCCGCUGAGCUGUGGUGGAUGUGCGUGGGGAGAGGGACCGUGCGGGGAAGAGGGACCGCACAGAGCGAUCACGCAAGGCGGUGGGGAGCGGCAGGGUGAGGGCCAGGAGAAGAAGCCAGGCACCGACGGGCUCGAAGGAGUCAGCCUGCUGAUUUCAAUAAUGAGAUGGGCAAGGCAUGAUUUGAUCCCAGCCUGUGAGUAUGAACACAGGGAGCAGAAGUUUGGUAACAGAAAGCUUUUAAAUUGAGUGGAUGGGGAUAUAAGGAGAUGUAAAGCUGGAGGCUGAGAUAAACGCACAUUAUAUGUAUGGCGAGGGUAAUUUGGUAACGGGGGCAUCCUGCCAGAGCUGAUGGCCGACUCCUCAUUGCCAAAAUGUCUUAAUGGAGAUCGGUUUGUGGUUUUCUGAGAGGGUGCUCUACUUGGAAAGGAAUUAAUCCUGGAAAGUUUUAUGCCCAUGCCACAGCGGAUGCUCACAACAGCCCUUCCUGGCUGCGGACCCACAAUUACUUGCUCCAAUUAAUUUCACUGGAAGCAGGAUCAGACCCUCACCCAGCCGAUGGCGGUCGCGGCGCUGUGGCACAUGGGCGAGCGGCACUGGUGUCUGUGGCUCUGCGGCUAAUCAACACGUCCGCUAAAGUGGAUUUGAUUUUGAGAAGUCUUAUGGACCCCAAUAAAGAUCAGUAAUCAUUAAAAUUAACCACACGCUGAUUUAAUCAACAUAUAGCUUUGUUAAUUACUAGCUCUUUCUUCGUGUCCAUCUGUUUUAAAGAUUUUAGUGAACCUGCAGCAGAUGUUCAUGUAAAUAUAAUAAGCCGGUUGCCAUGCAAAUAUAAAAUUUUCAGGA